rnacentral:rRNA from 1 species
GAUGAACGCUAGCGGGAGGCUUAACACAUGCAAGUCGAGGGGCAGCAUAGAGUAGCAAUACUUUGAUGGCGACCGGCGCACGGGUGAGUAACGCGUAUGUAACCUACCCUGUACAGGGGGAUAGCCCGGAGAAAUUCGGAUUAAUACCCCAUAAUGAUAUCGAGAGGCAUCUUUUGAUAUUUAAAGAUUCGGAGGUACGGGAUGGGCAUGCGUGAAAUUACCUAGUUGGUAAGGUAACGGCUUACCAAGGCUGCGAUGUCUAGGGGUCCUGAGAGGGUGAUCCCCCACACUGGGACUGAGACACGGACCAGACUCCUACGGGAGGCAGCAGUGAGGAAUAUUGGUCAAUGGGCGUAAGCCUGAACCAGCCAUCCCGCGUGAAGGAAGAAGGCGCUAUGCGUCGUAAACUUCUUUUCCAGAGGAAUAAAAUUUUGUACGCGUACAGAACUGAAGGUACUCUGGGAAUAAGCAUCGGCUAACUCCGUGCCAGCAGCCGCCGUAAUAC